rnacentral:lncRNA from 10 species
AACGACUUUUUCUAUCUUAAGGAUGGAGUGAAGGAGAGGAUUCUGAAGCUGCAGAAGUGACAAGGGGUGGUCUCAGUAGAAAUGACAGCAGUUGCUACUGUGCCUUGAACCUUGGCCACAGUCCCAGCAUUGUGCCACAUGCUUAAUAUAAAAUUCCAAAGCUCUUGAGCUGCAUGAAGUCACUGGAACACAGUAGAGCUUCUGAACCUGUAGCUGGAGAUGAGUAUCACCAGCCAACAUCCUUGGCAGAGCUGUGAGCCAACAGCCAGCCCCAGCCUGCCAGCCGUGUGAGCAAGCAGUCUUGGAAGGUGAUUCUACAGCCCCAGCUGAAACACUCCAACUGAUGCCAUGUGAGCCGAGAAGAGCAGCCAAACUGAGCCCUUCUCAAAUCCCUGAUCCUCCAAAUCUCCUCCUGAAAAGCAUGCAGCCGGCAGAAGAUCUGGAUACCACAGAGACUGAGAUUCUACAUGUGUUCAGAGACCGGAGUCCCUACCACAGAACCUGUGACCUGUGCUUCUAGGGUCUUCAAAGUCAAUAAAAAUCAGCAGGUGAUUGAAGGAGAAGGAAAAUAAAGC